AGAGUUUGAUCAUGGCUCAGGAUGAACGCUGGCGGCGUGCCUAAUACAUGCAAGUCGAGCGGUAACACUUCGGGUGACGAGCGGCGGACGGCAGAGUAACGCGUAGGAACGUACCCCAAACUGAGGGAUAAGCACCGGAAACGGUGUCUAAUACCGCAUAUUAUUUUCGAAUCAAAGCCUUCGGGCGGUUUGGGAGCGGCCUGCGUAUGAUUAGCUUGUUGGUGAGGUAAUGGCUCACCAAGGCGACGAUCAUUAGCUGGUCUGAGAGGAUGAUCAGCCUGACUGGAACUGAGACACGGUCCAGACUCCUACGGGAGGCAGCAGUAGGGAAUUUUCCGCAAUGGGCGAAAGCCUGACGGAGCAACGCCGCGUGCAGGAGGAAGGCCUUCGGGUUGUAAACUGCUUUUAACGGGGACGAUUAUGACGGUACCCGUAGAAUAAGGAUCGGCUAAUUCCGUGCCAGCAGCCGCGGUCAUACGGAAGAUCCGAGCGUUAUCCGGAAUUACUGGGCGUAAAGAGUUGCGUAGGUGGCAGGUAAAGCGAGCAGUGAAAGACUCCGGCUCAACCGGAGGCACAUUGUUCGAACUCCCAGCUAGAGCAUGAGAGAGGUAGAUGGAAUUUCUAGUGUAGGAGUGAAAUCCGUAGAUAUUAGAAGGAACACCGAUGGCAGGCAGUCUACUGGCUCAUUGCUGACACUAAGGCACGAAAGCGUGGGGAGCGAACGGGAUUAGAUACCCUAGUAGUCC
rnacentral:rRNA from 1 species